rnacentral:tRNA from 1 species
CGCGGGAUAGAGCAGUUUGGUAGCUCGUCGGGCUCAUAACCCGAAGGUCGGAGGUUCAAAUCCUCCCCCCGCUACCA